UUCAGCAUUUGCUCACUCAUGUGUCUGUGUCCCAUUUUGGUAGUUCUUGCGGUAUUUUUAACUUUUUCGUUGUUUUUAUAUUUGUUAGGGUGAUCAGAGAUCUUUGAUGUUACUGUUGCAAAAAGAGUAUCAGGUUCUGCCGGCUCAGAUGAUAAAAUGUAGACACAUGUGUGCGUAUGUUUACAUGUGCGUUUGCAUAUCCACAUUCACACCUGAACGUGCAUCUUAGUUUCUCAAGAGAAAGCACGUUAUAAACAAGGGGGCUGGAGUAAGUGACGGGCAUUUUCCAGCAACAAUGUAUUUUUUAGUUUAGGUAUGUACAUUGUUUUGGGGUUUUUUCGAGGCGACAAUAACCAUUAUUUAUACUCUUAAUACCAAGUAAUUUUAAGCUGUUUUUACAUUAUCACAAUGAUAUGUUUUUCAAAACCCAUUUCCGACACCCUUUUUAUUUCCCCCGAAGUAUUGUCAUCAGAUACUCCUAGUUGACAUUCCUUUGGGACUCUUGGCCUGUUCUCUCUGCUGUUGCAGGGCAACCCCACACAUUAUUUCCAACGCACAAGCAAUACUAAAGCACAGUGAAUUUCCAGCCUUGAUAAAUACCAUUAUCAGAAAUAGUCCUGAAUUUCUUGUGCACACCAUUAAAUAAAAAUAGUCUACGAUUUGCUUAAAAGCCUGGCAGAGUUGGAAUGGUGGCAAAAGGGAUGUGGGACAUUUGGGGCAGAAGCAGCAUGAAUCAAUCAACCACAUAGUUGAGAAUGAUACUGAAAACAAGCUAAUAGUUAUUAAGCUCUUUUGUGUAUCAGCCACUGUUUUAUUGAAGUCUAGUCAGUUUACAAUGUUGUGUCAAUUUCUGAUGUGUACAUUGUUUUUUAAGACACAAUGAAUGCUAUUGACCACUUAAUAGACUACAGUACAGUGUAAACUUUAUAACUUUAUAUGCCCUGGGAAACCGGAGAAUUUGUGUGACUUUUAUUGCAAUAUUUGCUUUGUUGCGGGGAGGCUGGAACAGAACCCACGACAUCUCCGAGGUCUGCCUCUACUCACCUUAGCAGCUUUGUUCAUUGUGGGCAAUUCCUACUGUGCAGAGGCACAGAAAGUAGCAUUAUGAACCCUCAACAGGUCUCAGUUCCCCGUAACCCCUGCCCAGGCUCACAUCUGCAGUCAAGAACUUAGGUCUGUUUUCAGCGUUUUUAAUUCCUUUCCCCUUAUGUU